CUAUAACACUAUUAAGGAUAAGCGGGAUGUUAGUGAAAUUGUCCAGUAUACUUACUCAAGAAGAGUCAAGACUUAAGAAACAAAGAGGUCAUUCCAUAACCUCAUGGGUCAAGAAGCUGGUAAAGGACUUAAAGUAAAAGCUAGCAAGCUUAAGAAAAGGAAAGCACCUGCUAAAGUUCCACAGGAUGCUCAUAAGGAACUCAAGGCUGAUGUGCGUCAUUUCUGCAAAAGGAAGGACACUGUCAGAGAGAUUGUCUGAAACAUAAAGUUUGAUUUGAAAAGAAAGGGAUUCACUACGAUCCAAAAUACGAAUACAAAUAAAAAAAUUUCUUGUUCAUAGAAAAUCACAUGAAGGCUAAAAUUGAAGGCAUAGGGACUUAUCGUUUGAACUUGGAGACUAGACAUCACCUUGAUCUAUUACAGACUUUUUAUGUUCCUUCAGUUUCUAGAAAUUUGAUUUCCCUUUCAAGACUUGAUGUUUUUGGAUUUGAUUUUAAGUUUGGAUAUAGAUGUUUCAAUUUAUAUAAGAAUAUUAUUUUUA